CCCGAAAAUGUGCCGUUUGUGCUCCGCUAGUAAAGUGAACAUGACCGGAGCAUCAUGCAGCAUCACCUGUAACGUUAACGUCACCGAGCACCGCUGGGAUCAUAUGACUGAUGAAGAAUGAAACGUGUGGGUUGUGAACGAAUAAUUCCUUCACAGCAGUGCUGCGUAUCAACCAGACAAUUGUGAAAAUGUUAUAUAAUAAAAUAACCAGCCUGGCAGCAGAUCAGAACAGCGUAUUACUUGUGCUUUUAUUCACAUAUAACAGCUGUAGCCCUCUUUUGUGUCAGAACUUUUCACUCAUAUUUCACUUUACUUUUCAUACAGGGCGUUUCUCAGCGACCUGGGACUUCAGGGGAAGGUCGCCCCUCAGCAAGCUGCAAAAAAGUGGGAAAAUUAAAAAAAAUACAAGGACCUAAAAACUCCAAAAACUGGAUCAGGAACUGAUAGUGGGGAGACAGUGGCGCCACCUGGCAGUUUUCUGAGGACAUGCAGGAGGUGCUGGGUGCCAGGCCUUCGAUCGACCCUCCUCUGUUGGUUUCAUCCUUUGUGGCUGCUGAGGAUCCUGUUCCAGGUCUUUUGGAAAUGGUUGAGCCCAGAAUGAUUGAGACCCCAGAGCCGAGCCCCUCUAUCGCCUCCACUUCAGGCAUCGCCUCUACCUCAGGGAGCUCCUCUUCCUCAGGGAGCUCCUCUACCUCAGGGGAGUAC